rnacentral:rRNA from 1 species
UACGUAGGGUGCGAGCGUUGUCCGGAAUUACUGGGCGUAAAGAGCUCGUAGGUGGUUUGUCGCGUUGUUCGUGAAAACUCACAGCUUAACUGUGGGCGUGCGGGCGAUACGGGCAGACUGGAGUACUGCAGGGGAGACUGGGAUUCCUGGUGUAGCGGUGGAAUGCGCAGAUAUCAGGAGGAACACCGGUGGCGAAGGCGGGUCUCUGGGCUGAAACUGACGCUCAUGCACGAAAGCGUGGGGAGCAAACAGG